GAUGAACGCUGGCGGCGUGCCUAAUACAUGCAAGUCGAGCGAACAGACGAGGAGCUUGCUCCUCUGACGUUAGCGUCGGACGGGUGAGUAACACGUGGAUAACCUACCUAUAAGACUGGGAUAACUUCGGGAAACCGGAGCUAAUACCGGAUAAUAUAUUGAACCGCAUGGUUCAAUAGUGAAAGACGGUUUUGCUGUCACUUAUAGAUGGAUCCGCGCCGCAUUAGCUAGUUGGUAAGGUAACGGCUUACCAAGGCAACGAUGCGUAGCCGACCUGGGAGAUCGAUCGCCCGCACAAGAACUGAGACACGUUCCAGACUCCUACGGGAGGCAGCAGUAGGCAUUCUUCGGCAAUGGGCGAAAGCCUGCCGGAGCAACGCCGCGUGAAUCGUGAGGGUCUUCGGAUCGGAAGAAUCUGUUAUUAGGGAAGAACAAAGGUAUAAGUAGCUAAGCUCUUCUAGACGGUACCUGAUCAGAAAGCCACGGCUAACUACGUG
rnacentral:rRNA from 1 species